AAAGACUUGACGGUACUUCACAACACUCUAGAGGAGCCUGUCUAAUAACCGAUACCCCACGAUUAACCCCACCCGUUCUAGCCCUACAGUCUAUAUACCGCCGUCGCCAGCCUACCUUGUGAAAGAGAUAAAGUAAGCAAAAUAAACCACCUUUAACACGACAGGUCAAGGUGUAACUAAUGAACGGGCAAAAGAUGGGCUACAUUUUCUAACACAGAAAACACGAAUCAAGCCAUGAAACCGAAACUGAAGGUGGAUUUAGUAGUAAGAUAAAAAUAGAAUGUUUA
rnacentral:rRNA from 1 species